GGUAGUCCACGCAGUAAACGAUGACUACUAGCUUUCCGGGAUGAUUGAAUCCUGGGAGGCACAGCGAAAGCGUUAAGUAGUCCACCUGGGGAGUACGCCGGCAACGGUGAAACUCAAAGGAAUUGACGGGGGCCCGCACAAGCGGAGGAACAUGUGGUUUAAUUCGAUGAUACGCGAGGAACCUUACCCGGGCUCAAACGACAGCGGACAGCUCCCGAAAGGGAGUCUCCGGCAACGGCCGCUGUCGAGGUGCUGCAUGGUUGUCGUCAGCUCGUGCCGUGAGGUGUCGGCUUAAGUGCCAUAACGAGCGCAACCCCCAUCUCCAGUUGCCACCGGGUCGUGCCGGGCACUCUGGAGGGACUGCCAGCGCAAGCUGCGAGGAAGGCGGGGAUGACGUCAAAUCAGCACGGCCCUUACGUCCGGGGCGACACACGUGUUACAAUGGCGGAGAACAGAGGGGAGCCACGUGGCGACACGGAGCCGAUCCCUAAAAUCCGUCUCAGUUCGGAUUGGAGUCUGCAACCCGACUCCAUGAAGCUGGAUUCGCUAGUAAUCGCGCAUCAGCCAUGG
rnacentral:rRNA from 1 species